rnacentral:lncRNA from 1 species
GAGCUCAUUAUCAUCAUUAGUAGUCAGCACCCGCAAAGUUCCAGUGCAGGCAGGCUUGACUGGAAAGAGACCAAGAGCCUAUCUGAGUUCUCUAGCAACUUAUUUAAGUUCUAGGAAGUCAGGUCUUUCUCCUAAGGAAACCCUGGUCUAAACUCUUAAUUAAAUUGCUUAAAUUUAGAAAAUUAGUAAUUUACCCAGGCCUUUACAGAAUGCACAUAAGAAUGGAUUGACGAGAUGUUGACACAGUUUAUAGAAGUCAAACAUGAACCAGACAUCUGACCUGUAAGUGAUGAUGAAUGGUGGUGAUGCAUGGCUCUUGAUAACACCAUCAGUGGUGAACAACAGUUGGAUCACCCAACAAGGGAGCAAUGAUGGAACACCAUCAGUGGUGAACAACAGUUGGAUCACCCAACAAGGGAGCAAUGAUGGAACAAUAUUGCUGUUAAGAUCAAACUAGGAAAUCACAAAACUUCCAUAAAAGUAUAAUAUUUGCAAUCCGGUUUAUUUAUUCAACAGUUGACUUAUUUAGAUGUUGCAUGCUUAUUCAAUUGAUGCAGGAUUCUUCCAUGCCUGAGAAUUCCUAUGAGCAGAAGCCUAAGAAAGAUGAUGUUGAAGUAAUGGAAGGCAAAGCUGAUCUGUGGACACCCUUAAACUGUCUUGUAGAGGCUGCUAACCGAACCAAGUCCUCUAAGUUAAAUCCCCAAGGGCAGUUGCCUGCCAAAUCAGAGCCACUCAAUGCCCUUGAUAGUAUUUCUGAACUUUAUAUGCCUGAAAGUAACACAGACAUAGAAUUGCCAGAUGCUCUAGAAAGUCAUUUACAUGUCCCUAAGGUCAAAAUCAAGGAGCCUGAGAACAGUACUAGAGGAAAAAAGAACAUUAAUGCGGCAGCAGUCACAGGAUCCAUGAAACGGAAGAGGUUUCAUGCAGGUAAUCGUAAUAGGGGAGCUCCAUCGGGGGAGUCAGGUGAUUCAACUCAAGAUGUACGUGGGGCUAAGCAUAGCAGAAGAAAUAAUCCUAUUUGGUUCUUGUUGGUUGCAGCUGAAAACUGGUGAGACAGCCCUGCGAUUAUAAAGCUUGCAUAGUUAUGUGGUUUAUAUAUGAAAAGCUUAAUUUCUUUUAUCAUGUUGAUUUAUUGUUUUUAUGGUAAAUGUCUCUAGGAAAGGAGAGGCCUCCUUGCCCCAGAUAUCAUCAUGUUACCUGAGAAUAAAGUGAGCUUUCUAUAGUCCUGUUUCUUUCUUUGAAGUGCUGCAACUUCAUAACAAUGCAUUGCCUUAUCUUAGUCAUUUUGUCAUCUGAUGUAUGGGACAAACAGAACCAGUUUGGUAAAUUUUACUGUAAGAAUAUCAUGGGGGUCAAUAGUAAUGAUUUUAAUUCCUAAUAGGCCAUAUCACAAAUUCUGUAAAAGUUUAACCUUUGCUUAUUUUCUUUUUUCCAGCUAAACUUGGUACAUGAUUUGGGUCUACCAUUAUUGGUUAAGAAUAUGCUACACCAGAAAUGUAAACAGAUUAUUACCUAGUCAACUGCACAUCCUAAGUAUAGUGUUCAGCACCUCAGCUACCAUGUUAACCACGAAUAUUGCCUAAUUGUGAUGAUAUCAACGUGUGCAUUUUGAUGAAUUGUGAAGUGAUAGCUUUUAGUGCGACUUUCUUGGGGCUUAGUGGUAAUUACUUUUCUUUCUUCCCCAGGGAUGGUAAAAUGCCUGUAACAUUUAUUCAGAUGUACCUUGUGAUGAAGAAACUUGAACUUACCAGUAAAGCUGAGGUGAGUAUUUUUUUGUUACCUUCAAACAAUAAAAAUAGUAGUUUCUAUGGGCUUGACCGUAAAAUAACACUGAAAUAUAAAGGAGAGAAAAGAAGACAUGGUAGUUUUCCACUUUGGGUGGAGCUAUUAUCUGAAAAAAAAAAAAUAAUGACGUUGUUGUAAAUAAAUUGUAAAUGAAGGCAAAACUGUCUAUUUACGCACCGAAUAAACAGUGCUACUACGAUUUUGUUUUAAUAUAUAUAAAAAGAUGUGUUUUCUUCCCGUGAUGACAAGGAGGAANNNNNNNNNNNNNNNNNNNNAAACUUUCUCAUUGUCACUGAUCCUCUAUUGACUCUUAUUACCGAAUACCCCUCCUAUUGUCCAAUGGACCAUCUAUUUCCCAACAUACCCCGUAUUGAUUAUCUAUACCUAAGGUUAUAUCUUCCGUUUUUUCUUUUUUUCUAACUUUGGAUGAAGAAAGUGAUUUGAAUGAACAUAUAUAAAGGAUUAAUUGAAUUCUUAAAGUAGUUCAAAUGAUAGUGGUUUUGUCAUUGUAGUGAUUUACCUUAUUUCUAAGUCUUUUUUUUUUUUUUUCCUUUCUAAAUAAGAGAGCAAAAUCUAUUAAAACUAGAAACACCAUGGGAAACCAAUGUUUACAGCAUGCAUUACCUUAUUUCUAAGUUGGAGUUUAGUUUUCCAUUUUCUUUUUCAAUUUAAUCUCAAAAUAAUUGAGUAAAUUGAGGAUCUUCGGGCAAGGUUACUGUGUAUUGUUUUUAAAAUAAAAAAUUUCUUAAAUAUAUGUAUUGUUGUUAGUUUGUUACCGUAAACCAUUGUACAAGUAAAAUUGGGAGACAGUACUAUAUUAUUAUUAACUGAUCUCAAUGUAUCUGCAGGUUAUCUUUCCAGUAUUGAGAAUCCUAUCCAUUGAACGCCUGGGCGAGUUGAAAAAGAUAUGGAAUGGCCAACUUUCACCCACCUCCUUCUCUAAAUUAGAAAGACUCACUGUCUCGGGAUGUGACAAACUACUGCAUUUGGUACCGACACAAAUGCAAAAUAGAUUGCAGACAUUGGAGUCCAUACGAGUAGAGGAAUGUUCUUCACUGGAAGGGAUUUUUGAAGUGAGCAGAUUGACCGUCAAUGAAAGGAAUGCUUCAGUUUCUCGGUCAGACAAAUUACCUUCAAAUAUUUCCCAACCUGAUCAAGGAAUGCAAAUAAACGAUAUCAUGGGUUGCAGACAAUCUUGCCAAGGCUUUCAGAAUUUAACUGGACUGGAUAUUACAUCUUGUGGUAGGUUGAGAUACCUGCUCUCUCCUUCGAUUGCUAGAGGUCUUGUCAAGCUCCAAAUACUAGAGAUAAAGGAUUGCCAGAAGAUGGAAGCAAUAGUCACAGCAGAUGAAGGUGAAGAAACUGAGAAUGAAAGCAUGCUCCCUCGGCUAAAUUUUUUGGAUCUUCGGAAUCUACCAAAUCUUGGAAGCUUUUCGCAAGGCAGAUAUACUUUUGAUUGGCCACUAGUGAAAUGGAUCCGUAUUAUCAAGUGCAACAAAAUGAACAAAUUUUGUUCAGGAUCCCUCCGCAUAUCCAGGGCAGUGGACAUAACUGUCCGAUCUUCUGGUAAGAGUGUAGAGCGUGAGCUCAAGGAUAGCAGGAAAACAGGCUGACCAGGUAUGCAAUUUCAAUUGUGAUUUCUGACUGCUGUAGAGUGCAAUCAUAUGUGUUUUGACUUAGCAUCAGAAUAAAUGUGUAAUCUGUGCAAAUAUGUUUCAAUGUGGAUCGAAUUUUGAAGAUUAANNNNNNNNNNNNNNNNNNNNCUAACUUCUAAGUUAAGUUUUAAAGAAAUGUAACUAUAUAUUUUGAAAGAAGCCACCACCAUAUCUCUCUGCCUCCACACGUGUUAGUUGUGUUCGAUAAGGCAACCAUAAGAAUUUUUGUCAAAGAAGGACACUUCUAGCUUAUUACAUUGUGCACCGUUGGGAGCUAAUGACCAUAUAUGUUACUUGAAAUGUAUCAUGUAAUUUAAGCCACUGGACCUAUCAGAAGAAUAUAAACGAAUUGUUGCUGGUUAUUUAAUAUCUUCAUUAAGACUGCUUUCGGAAAAGAAGUAACUGGCAAGGAUUGUAAGAAAAACGCAUGAUACAACAUCCAAGUAUGAUUUUGUGUAAAAGUCGAUCCUUUGUCAACUAUCGUUGUAUUUUUUUUAAUAUUCAAGACUGAGAUAAAGGUGGGCUUUAUUUGAUCUGAUUAUAGUUCUCUUCUUGCUCACAAUCGUAUGUUUUUAUUGUCGUAAUGUAUGCUGAAGCUUACAUGAAAACGUUCUUACACAUGCUUGGGAUGCCAAUUAAUUUAAUCUGCAGGCCGGACCAUAAUUUGCAAGAUAUCAGGGCCAAGAUAUUUCCUCUUAAAAGACGUAAAAUUAAUGCACCCGAAUCACCUUCAGUUUCAUUACCGGUGAAAAGGAAGGAGAGGUCAUUAUCAUCAUUAGUAGUCAGCACCCGCAAAGUUCCAGUGCAGGCAGGCUUGACUGGAAAGAGACCAAGAGCCUAUCUGAGUUCUCUAGCAACUUAUUUAAGUUCUAGGAAGUCAGGUCUUUCUCCUAAGGAAACCCUGGUCUAAACUCUUAAUUAAAUUGCUUAAAUUUAGAAAGAAUGCACAUAAGAAUGGAUUGACGAGAUGUUGACACAGUUUAUAGAAGUCAAACAUGAACCAGACAUCUGACCUGUAAGUGAUGAUGAAUGGUGGUGAUGCAUUGCUCAUGAUAACACCAUCAGUGGUGAACAACAGUUGGAUCACCCAACAAGGGAGCAAUGAUGGAAUAAUAUUGCUGUUAAGAACAAACUAGGAAAUCACAAAACUUCCAUAAAAGUAUAAUAUUUACAAUCCGGUUUAUUUAUUCAACAGUUGACUUAUUUAGAUGUUGCAUGCUUAUUCAAUUGAUGCAGGAUUCUUCCAUGCCUGAGAAUUCCCAUGAGCAGAAGCCUAAGAAAGAUGAUGUUGAAGUAAUGGAAGGCAAAGCUGAUCUGUGGACACCCUUAAACUGUCUUGUAGAGGCUGCUAACCGAACCAAGUCCUCUAAGUUAAAUCCACAAGGGCAGUUGCCUCUCAAUGCCCUUGAUAGUAUUUCUGAACUUUAUAUGCCUGAAAAUAACAGAGACAUAGAAUCGCCAGAUGCUCUAGAAAGUCAUGUACAUGUGUCUAAGGUGAAAAUCAAGGAGCCCGAGAACAGUACUAGAGGAAAAAAGAAC